GACCUGUAUUCCGAACUGUCACCGGACGGUGGCGUGUCUAGGACAACUAGAAUAGGAACGUGGUCGGGA
rnacentral:ncRNA from 1 species